UCGGGAAUUUUGGGCAAUGGGCGAAAGCCUGACCCAGCAACGCCGCGUGAGGGAUGAAGUACUUCGGUAUGUAAACCUCGAAAGAAUGGGAAGAAUAAAUGACGGUACCAUUUAUAAGCUGCGGCUAACUACGUGCCAGCAGCCGCGGUAAUACGUAGGCAGCAAGCGUUGUUCGGAGUUACUGGGCGUAAAGAGUGCGUAGGCGGUUUUCUAAGUUCGGUGUGAAAUCUCCCGGCUUAACUGGGAGGGUGCGCCGAAGACUGGGAAGCUGGAGUGUGGGAAAGGCAGGCGGAAUUCCUGGUGUAGCGGUGAAAUGCGUAGAUAUCAGGAGGAACACCGGCGGUGUAGACGGCUUGCUAGACCAUAACUGACGCUGAGGCACGAAAGCGUGGGUAGCAAACA
rnacentral:rRNA from 1 species